AAGUGGAAUUACAGGAUUUCUGUGACAAUUCUACGCUUCAUGUUUUGAGGAGCUGCUGAACUAUUUUCCACAAUGGGUGUGCCAUUUUACAAUCUUGCCAGCAGUGCACAAUGGAUCUAAUUUCUCCACCUUCUCUUCAAUACUUCUUUUCCAUUUUUUUUACUUGCCAUCUUAAUGAAUGUGGAGCCCAUACCACAUUUUGUAACAUAGUUAUAAAUUUAGGAAUUAGAAGGUCUGUCAUCUCAUUUAGUCUCUUAUGUUCCAGAAGAAGAUGAAACCCAGAAUUUUCAGUGCCUUAUCCCAUGUCACCUAUCAGAAUGGGGCUAGAACCAGGUCUCUUCUUUGCCAAUGUUUCAUAGAGCCUAUUAGACAUGGUAUAUAAGACUACGGGAAAAAAAGCAGUUAAGCGUCAGACUUGAGAAUACAUCAGAGCUGACAUAAAAUCAUAUAUGAAAUCGAGAUAGAAGUCUGACUUUAUACUCUCCUAUCUUACGAAGUUAGACUGGCACCAGAAAAGUUGGUGAACCUCCAGAGCUUCAGUUUCCUGAUCUAUCAGAUGCAUAUAGUAAUACUUGCCUUGUAGAAAUUUUGAAAAGAUUAAAUUAAAUUAUUCAAGAUCCUAUAUAGUCCUGAAGCUAUUUAGACAUUGAAAAAAUAUUCCUUCCACUGCCAACAUCUAGCACAAUUUGGGAUACAUGUUAGGUGCUAAACCAACACUUACUAAUUUGACUUGCUUUGACAACAGGGUCUAAAACUGCUUUAGGCUUCAGAUUUCUUCUGGCAAUUUAUUUCCAAUUUAGGGUGGGUGCUAACAAAAGGUCAGAGGAACAACGAAAGCAGAUGGUCUUCCUGAAGCGUGUGCCAAAAGGAUUUGUGAGUGUAUUGGGGUGACGUCUCCACCCAUCGCACAGCUUGGAGGCUCAAGGGCAGAUCCCCAACAUUGUACUGGUCCCUUCCUGAGCACUCCCUGGUGCAGACUCCAAGUCUGACAAGGAAAAUGUGCUGUGAUCAUCCUACGGGGGACAGAGCAGCUGCUCCAAGGUGGAGUCUAUUGUCAAGGUCCUCCUGGUAACAAAAAGAGGAAAAGGUCUAUCAAAGCAUUUCCUGCCCGCGGGAGCCAUGUGCUUCCAUUAAUUCUUUUCCCUGAGUCAGUCUGUCUCCCUCAGCUCAUGUCUCUCCAUGUCCACUGUCCAGAGAAAAGAACAGGCAUUUUUAGCAGUUGAUUUAAAAACCUUUCCACAAAGUGAGGUUAACGAGAGGAACAAGCUCAGAUAUUCAGUGGUAUGCAUCUAUAUAUUUCAUAAGGAAGCUGGCACUAAGAAAGGGUGGUUUACGGCAGUUAUGAUUUUUCAGAAAUCUGCUCAUGCCCUUCAACUGCUUUGGCACUGCCAUGGGUACCUGAGGAUAAGAGAGAUGUCUCUGCCAUCUCUGCACCAUCAAGAAAUUACAGAAAAACCACAGUGAAUAUCCUCUGAAUAUUACAUUGGUAACAUUCACACAUUAUAGAAAAAAUUAGUUAGUGAUGGGAGUGAGUAAACAGUAUUUCUGAAUGAGUGACUGAGUUUGGUGAAUCAAAUUUGUUAGCCAUGGGAGUCAAUAAAAAUAUAUUUCUAAAUGAGUGACUGAGUUUCAUGAACUAAUCUGAAUCUCGGUUCAGGGAAGAAGGCCUGGAGGGUGACUCUGAUGAAUAAGGUAAAAUGUGGUCAUUUAUAGUGCACCCUCUUCCAGAAAAGAUAAUGUCACAAAGAAAGAAGAUGGUGAGCAUGGUGUCUACAAACAGAGCAAAGAGAAAGAUAGAAUUUGACAAAUACUUAUCCAGCACUGUUAUGAUGAAAGCCCCUAAGUGCUAAUAUGGCAGAUUGCAAAAAAUGGUGGAAGAGAGUCAAGAUGCCGUGGCCAACGACCUGCCAAUCGGACAGGUGAGUGAAGUCAUCCUAUAUCACCCAGCUACCAACUGACCACGGAUGCCUGAGAGAGCUCAGCAGACAAGAGCUGAGUUGGCCCAGGCCAGAAGAACCCAAGCUGACCCACAGAAUCAUGAGUUAAAUUGAAUGCUUGUCAUUUUAAGUUGCUAAGCACUGGGGCAGCUUGUUAUGCAGCAAAAGGUAAAUGUUGUAGUGGUCAGUAGCUAAGAGGUCUCUGCUGUGAAGCUAAUCCUUCAAACCUUGCCAAAACCAGGGAGAAAUUGCCUUCAAGACUCUUGAUCUUGCUUUGCUUUCACUUAUAAUUUUUCCUCCUCCUUGGCACUUAAAUUUUUCCCAUGGAUGAAUAAAUUAAUGGUCCUACAUUAUCUGUUUAUUAAUUUAUUUAUGUAUUAAUUAUGUUUUGAGACAGGGUCUCACUCUGUCACCCAGGCUGGAGUGCAGUGGCAUGGUCCUGGCUCACUGCAGCCUCAAAUUCCUGGGCUCAAGCAAUCCUCCCACCUCAGCCAGGCCCCCAAGUAGCUGGGACCACAGGCACAUGGCACCACACUCAGCUAAUUAUAAAAUUUUUUGUAGAGAUGAAGUCUUGCUAUGUUACCCGGGAUGGCCUUAAACUCCUAGGCUCAAGAAAUCCUCCCACUUUGGCCUCCCAAAGUAUUGAGGUUACAAGUGUGAGCCACCAAGCCUGGUCCUUGUUCAUAUUGCAGGCUGAGAGUUUAGUUGGCAUAAGUAAGUCUUCCCAUCUCUCAACCAUGGUGCCUAGAGUAUUGAAUUUCUGGUGUUUCUUAGCUGAAGAGCAGAGUUUUAAGUGGUUAUGCCUCUGGCAUGCACUUGUCCUGCCCAAGUAACCAGCUCUGUCUUAUUUGUGUUGAAUUUUUACAAACCUCUCUAACAGCAAAAAUGAGCCCCUAAAAUUGAAAGAGAAAAAUUUAAUCACUUUCUUAUAUCAAUUUAAAUUUUUUUAAAGGUAUAAAGGAAUAGUAACUGAAAUACAUAUGAAAUCUAUCCAAUAUAUACAGAAUCCUGGUCUUGACGUCCCUCAAGGAUGACAGAGAGUCCACAUGCCAGGCUAGAUAAUCAUUGAAGAAUCCCAGGCCUCUUUGAUCCUGUAAACAAGAAGAGGAGAUUAGGAUAUGGACACACACAGAGGGAAGACCAUGUAAGACACAGGGAGAAGAUGGCCAAGAAGAAACCAACC
rnacentral:lncRNA from 10 species